GAGCUGUUGACAGCAUAUGGCCUCCAGAAAUAGAUUCCGGGAAAUUUCCACUCUUGAUAAGCCCAGAUGUGAUCAGGAGUUGGGAGCGAAUAUUGGGAACCAUCAGUAGGGCACAAUGUGGUGGGGAACAGAUGUAAAGGAGGGCAGGGUUCCUUGGCAGUCACAAUUUGUCAGCUCUCUCAUAUAGGCCCAAUUGGGAGAAGGGGGUCUUACCCCCUUCUUCAGCCUGUGGCUGCUGGUAAGACAACUUUUUAAAGCUUUCUUCAAACUGUAAAACUCCGAAAAAGAUUUUUGUUCCAGUUGUUCCAGUGUUUAAGUAACCAUGACAAGCAUGAUUCCAGAUGUAAAAGCCAAGAGGUUGCGUACCAAGAAAGUCUUCCAACAGCUGUGGAAUUUUAAAAAGCAUAAA